rnacentral:snRNA from 1 species
AUAACUUUCUUGACCUUUUGGCUAAGAUAAAGUGCAGUAUCUGCAUUUUAAUAUCUGUCAUGUGGGCCAUAUGUCCACUUUAAUAUUAUUUUUUUUGUGAGAAGAGUCCACUUUAAUUUAUUUUUUUGGAGCGCCUAUAAAACUGGCUUGCCACUACACUCUCAUGUCCUGCAAACACUAU